rnacentral:ribozyme from 10 species
ACUCGUCAGAGCGAGUAUAAAUAGCUUUUUAGGCU